CAGGCAUAGAUUCAAUUUGAUAUCUUCUCAAAUCUCUCCAAUGAUACUAUUUAAGGUUAUGGUUUGUCUUAUUUUAAGGUUUUCUGUGUUCCCUUAAUUAUUCCUGUCCCGUCUAAGUUAAAUUUUUCUAUAUUUUCUUGUUUUGUUGUUGCUUCUUUUUUAACCUCGGUUUUCUCUGUUAUACAGCAGGUACUCCAUAAAUGUGGGAGUUUCCAGCUGUCCAUUUAUAUUACAGAACGAGGCAGUAGAAACGCUAAAUGGGAGCAAGUGGGAGCUCAGCUCCUGUGAGCAGGGCUGCCUGAUGGUCUGGAGAAGUACAACACUUCUCACUGGGCUAAAAGCAAGGUGUCAGCAGGGCUGUGUUGCUAUCUGGAGGCUCCAGGCAAGAAUCUGUUUCCUUGCCUUUUCUGGUUUGUAGGGGCCACCUGUAUUCCAUGGCUCAUGGUCCCCUUCCUCCAUCUAUACAGUCAGAAAUGGUGGGUUGAGUCCAUUCCACAUCACUGUGACUUUGUUUGUAGUCUCACAUUUUCUUUGACUCUCCCCUUCUGCCCCCUUCUUCCACUUAGAAAAAUUCUUGAAAUUACAUUGUUCCACCUGGACAAUUCAGGAUAAUCUCCCUGUUUUAGGGUCAUCUGAUUAGCAACUUAAUUUCGUCUGCAGCCUUUGUGCCCUUUGCCAUAUACCUACCAUAUUUACAGUUCUGGGGAUGAGGACAUGGACAUCUUUGGUGGGGGCAUUAUUCUGCAUAUGGCUUUACUGAGCCUGUUGGAUCCUGUGUCAGCCACAACCACUUCUCUGCAUAUAUUUAGCUAUGGCUUUAUCUGCACGGCUUUCAUUAGUCAGUAAUCUCAUGUGUGUAUUCUGGAAUCUCUCAUCCACUAACAGAGCCCUUCCUUUUAAAAAAAAAAUUUUUUUAAUGUUUAUUUAUUUUUGAGAAAGAGAGAGGGAGAGAGAGAGAGAGAGAAAG